rnacentral:misc_RNA from 1 species
GAAAGAUAUCCUUCCAAACGUUACAGUGGGAACCAUCGGGAAAGUCUUGGUUCUUUACCUCGCCAAAAGAUCCCUUUCCGGGAUCCUUCUUAUUCAAGGCCGGUCAGCAAUCAAUAUGUAGACGAUGAUGUUGAAGAUGAUGACGAAGAGGAUGAAGGGCUGGGGGAGGAAGAGGAUGAAAAUUAUCAGAACAAUGGUUUUGCUCACACGAGCGAAGAAGUAGAUGAUGGCGAUGACGAAGAUGAUUUUGUUAUGGAUGAAGACAACAAGCAGAACAGUACUGUGAAAUUGGAUGAUGCUGAUUUGGAAAGACACCCCAAGAAGCGACGGCUGAAGAAUUUGAUAUCCAAUUAUGAACUUGCUCCUCGUAUGCCAC